rnacentral:rRNA from 1 species
CAGUAGCCGCGGGAAUACGGAGGGAGCUAGCGUUGUUCGGAAUCACUGGGCGUAAAGCGCACGUAGGCGGCUAUUCAAGUCAGGGGUGAAAGCCCGGGGCUCAACCCCGGAACUGCCUUUGAAACUAGAUAGCUUGAAUCUUGGAGAGGCGAGUGGAAUUCCGAGUGUAGAGGUGAAAUUCGUAGAUAUUCGGAAGAACACCAGUGGCGAAGGCGACUCGCUGGACAAGUAUUGACGCUGAGGUGCGAAAGCGUGGGGAGCAAACAGGAUUAGAUACCCGGGUAGUCCCUGUCUCUUAUAC